UACGUAGGGUGCGAGCGUUAAUCGGAAUUACUGGGCGUAAAGCGUGCGCAGGCGGCUUGCUAAGACCGAUGUGAAAUCCCCGGGCUCAACCUGGGAACUGCAUUGGUGACUGGCAGGCUAGAGUAUGGCAGAGGGGGGUAGAAUUCCACGUGUAGCAGUGAAAUGCGUAGAGAUGUGGAGGAAUACCGAUGGCGAAGGCAGCCCCCUGGGCCAAUACUGACGCUCAUGCACGAAAGCGUGGGGAGCAAACAGG
rnacentral:rRNA from 1 species